CCUCAGCAUUUCUGAGAUAAUAUAGGAUAGGUAUACCUUCCUCCUCCCCCCUCAGAAAUGGCUUAUUGCAUUUUUUAUCCGUACACCCCCUGUUGAGGACACACGGCAUAAAUUUCCUACCCCCCCGGAUUUCCAAGUAAUUUUUUGUCAGAAGCCCUGAAAAAAUGUGGUUUGAAGGGGGUGCCUGGAAUUCCAAUUGUGUUUAAUCAAUGACCCUUGGAAAUUCUUUUUUUUUCCGCAUGACUCCGGAAUUCCGCUGUGAAUAAGUUGAUCUCCCCUGGAUUUCCUUGCCACUUUUUGUCUCCAUCCCUGGAAAAAUGUGGUUUGUAGAAGGGAGUGCCUGGAAUUCCAAGCACUUUUUUUUUCGAUGUCAAUCAAUGACCCUUGGAAAUGCAUUUUUUCCGCAUGACUCUGGAAUUCCACUGUGAAUAAGUUUAUCUCCCCUGGAAUUUCCAGUUCCGGGAUCAUUAUUUUAUCCCCUUUCCCGGAAUUUCCAUGUAAAUCUUAUUAUUUUGACCCCCACCCACUGGAAUUCCAGGGUUAUUUCGACCCCCACCCACUGGAAUUCCAGGGUUAUUUCGACCCCCACCCACUGGAAUUCCAGGUUGGUUUGACCCCCACCCACUGGAAUUCCAGGUUGGUUUGACCCCCACCUACUGGAAUUCCAGGGUUAUUUCGACCCCCACCCACUGGAAUUCCAGGUUGGUUUGACCCCCACCCACUGGAAUUCCAGGGUUAAAUAUAAAAGGCAUCCCCUGGAUUUCCAAGGUCCUCAACAGGGGGUGUACGGAUAAAAAAUGCAAUAUGCCAAUUUAAAAAAAAUUUUAACUCCUUGGAAAAUUACAAAAAUGUUGACACCUUAAGAAAUUUUCCUUUCACAAACCCCCUCGGAAAUUUCAACUUGGCACACCCUCAGAAAUUCAAAAUUUCAGACCCCCUUCGGAAAAUCUAGUCUGGAAUGGCCCUGUACUUCGUAUUAAUAUAUAACUAAAUGAACUAAUUAUUAAAAAGUAAACUGACCUUUAAACUGAAGAACUUGAUUGGCUUGUACACAUUGGUUUCUUUGUCAUAUAGUUCAAUUGCUGUUGCUUGUAAAUGUUUUAUAAACCAGUACAGCGAAGUAGCGAAAUUUCGGGCCGUCUUUCACAACAAAUAACAUCACAAUAACUGCACAUCUUUUUCUCUUCAAUACAGAAUCGUUUUCCCCGUCCAUUGAGUUAUAAUUUCCAAAACGAACCAGUCGCUAUAACGUAAAAUAAGCGGGUAUUUGUGAGCAAAAAUGCCCUUUGAUAUAACACGAGGUAACCGGCGCCAUCUUGUCUUCUCCAAACAUUACAGAUUUUCCCG
rnacentral:lncRNA from 1 species